GGGGGAACAGAUGGUGGGUAAGGGCUAGUUCUAGCAAGCUUUGGUUUGUGGGUUCCUCUGGUGCCACCUCCAGGCUGAGAAGGGUCUAGAGUUGUAACUUCUGUCCUUUGGAUAGAAGAGGGACGGGGACGUGCGAAUUUACAUCUUGCUUUUAGGCAAAUAGGAGGAGGGCAGAGAGCUUUUCUUAUAUCUGCUUCUUCUCAGUUGCCUUCAGCUCAAAAUAAUCCUUAUGCCAAAGUAGCAUAUUUGGGGGUAGCACAUUCUGCUAUCCUUUAACAGCUUUGGUCUAUUAAAUCAUUAAAUAUUAUUCUUAUAGACCAGAUUAUGGAGAAUCUCAAAAGACUUAUUUUUUAGAUAUAACUCACAUAUCAUAAAAUCAAACCCUUUAAAAGUAUAUAACUCAAUAGUUUUUAGUAUAUUCACAAAGUUAAGCAACCAUCACCACAAAUUCCAAAACAUUUCAUCAAAAAGAAACCCUAGACUCUAUAGCAGUCACUCCUCACCUGCCCCUCCCCCGAGCCCCAAUGCUACUGUGCUUUCUGUCUCUGGAUUUGCCUAUUCUGGAAAUUUCAUAUAAAGGAAAUCCAUAAUAUAUGCUUAUUGUGUCUGACUUCUUUCACUUAGCAUAAUGUUUUUAAGUUUAUUAGGUUAUAGCAUUAGGUGUACUCCAUCACUUUUUAUGGCUGAGUUAUGUUCCACUGUGUAGACAUGCCUCAGAAGACUUGAGAGGAAGGCAUUCAUUCUAUGAGGGGAGCAAGGGCCUUAGGGCCCAGGCUCAGUGUGAGAAGCACUGUGCCUCCUCUGGCAACGGACUGCCUGGGCUCUCACCUUGGCUGUGUAACCUGGGCAGAUCACUUUCUUUGUGCUUCAUUUUCCUCUCAUAAAGAAGAUAGUAGUAACUCUUGUAGUGUUGAAUUAAAUGAGCUAAUAUAUUGAAAGGGCCUUGAAAAGUGCCUGGUGUUAAGGUCCAGUUGUUUCUAUGGAGACAAAAAGACUGACAGAUGCAAAACUAACCACUGACUACUUAACACACUGCCCUUUAUUCUAGAAGCUUCCAAAUGGCUACAUGGCUACUUUAUAAAACUGGAAAUUAAAACAGGUCUGACUAUAAGAGGGAAUGAAUUGAAGAUAGCAGUCUCUGUAACUUUCCUAGGUGAAAGGGAACAGAAUACAUGACCCAAAAUGUGCUACUUUGGCAUAUGGAUUAUUUUGAGCUGAAGGCAAUCAAGACUCAGCAUACUCAAGAAAAAGUUUUCUCUCUCCCUUAACUGCCUAAAAGAAUUCAGAUAGGAGGACUGGCUCAGAAGGACUAUUACCAGAUACAGCUUUUAUCUGGAAAUCUUACCUGCAUGGCAGGGCAGACCUCUGAUUACCAUAAAUCUGCUCUUCUCCACUUCCUGUGAAUCACCCUCCUCUGCCUUGAAUCCCCAGCCCCUAUCCCAUCCCUUAGCUGAGGAUGGCAUAUAAGCCUCAACUACUUGAGUGCCUUAAAGUCACAUGUUUUGAUGGGGCUCCCAAAUGUAUGAAAUUAAAUUUGUUUUUCUCCUGUUAAUCUGGCUUAUAUCAAUUUAACUAUUAGAUCAGCUGAAGAACCCAGAAGGGAGGAGGAAAAUUUUCCGCCCUGACAGUUGGGUAACCUGUGAGGGUACCUCCACUGGCUAGAUGUUGCUCACUCAGGGCUGCUGCUGCUGAGAGACCUGGGGCCUCUGACGAGGGGCGGCAGAAGUUGCACAGCGCCACAAACAAUGAUCAGGACUCGUUUGCCUCCUCCUUGAAGAGAAGAGAUUACUACACAUCCUACCCCUCAGUCCGUCCAGAGGAGCAGCGUGUUUGGGAAAACUGGCCUGGAGGCUACGGGGUGAGCCAGGCCCAAAGAACCGGAACACUAGAACAGAAGGAAUUCGGCCUUUACUGAACGGGGACCGUGCCAUACUCAGCCUCUCCUUCCAGAGACCGUCACUCUCCACCUUCAAGAUUCCUUUCAGUUUAUACAAUAGUCCCCCCUUAUUUGCAGGGGAUUCUUUCAGAGACCCCCACUGGAGGCCUGAAACCAUGGGUAAUACUGAACUCUAUAUAUAUUGUUUUUUCCUAUACAUACAUACCUAUGAUAAAGUUUAUAAAUUAAGUGAUUGACAAGAAUGACUAAAUAAAACAGAGCAAUUAUAAUAAUACACCGUAGUAAGUUACAUGAAUGUGGUCUUUCGCUCUCUCAAAAUACCUUACUGUACCGUACUCACCCUUCUUUUACUGCUAAUGGGAGAUGAUAAAAUACCUACGUGAUGAGAGUGACAGCACACACUGUGACGUAGCAGUGGGCCACCACUGACCUGAGGAUAUGUCAGAAGGCGGAUCAUCUGCUUCCAGACCAAGGCUAACCGUGGGUACCAGACCUUGGAAGGUGAAAGCUGAUAAGGGGGUACUCCUAUACUUCAGUACCUGAUGUGUUCUUCAAUGUCCAAGACAGAAACAGCCAAAAAAGUCUACUAGAUUUAAUAUUCUUAAUGAAAAUUUUCUAUAUGUCAAAAACCACAAACAAAUGUAAAGGCAAACAAUAAACUUGGAAAAUAUUAUUUUUUAGACAAAUAUAGCAACAGAGGCAAAUAUCCUUAAUAUCAAAGGGCUUUUUAUAAAGUAUAGGGCACCAACGAGCGAGAGGGAGGGUAUGAACAGGUGGAUUAAUCAAAACAAUGAAACAAACGGUUAAUAAGAAAAUUUUCCACCUCCUUAACCCUCAAAGCAAGGUAAAAUAAAACCAUUGGAGAUAACAUUUUCCCUUAUUACCUCUCAGACUAGCAUAUGAAUACCCACUGUUGGGCAGGGGUGUCUCAUUUACUUCUAGGAAUGCAUAAUCCAAAAUUACCAAUACAUUUUGACCUGUCAAUUUCACCUCUAAAAGAUAUCUGGAAGCAAUCUUAAAGGUUUCCACAAUGUAGAGUUCCAAAAACACAUUUAUAAUUUUUCCCUCUCUUUCUUGAUUGUAUACCCAAUAAUCCUGAGCCUAUUUGUUGUAUUUAUUUAAAUUCUCAACACAUUACACCAGAACACUAUUUUGUAUUUUAGUACCUUAAUCCAAAAUGCAGUUGCUAAUGUUCUGAGCCCAGUGACUCUAAGGGUUAACUCCACCCUCCCUAGCCCUGCGACCUAUGGAAAGGUUUUUUGCUCGCAGGUGGGUGGGUUGAGUGAGGCUGGUGAGGUGGGCAGGACACUGUGUGGGAGAAGUUAGCAGAUGAGCAGUAGGAGGCUCUAGCAAGGUAGUUUGUAGGUUGGGUUACAGGCAACAGGAGCUGUUGUGUCUGGGGUGAGAAGCCCUAUAUAGGAGGAGAUGGGGUAACAGACUGCACCAAAAUCCCCAGCUCUGUCCUGCAUCACCCACCCUGCUGUGGCGCUGGGCCAUCCCAGGCCUUCCUAAGGUGAAGGCCUUUGGUGACUUGGAGGAUAUCCUGUUACAGAAAAGUUGCCACAUCACCUGAACUUCCCCUGAAGUUCACUGAGUUUGCACUUUCUUCCACUGCCCUCCUCAAGUUCCCUGACGUGGCCCAGGGCUCUUGGGUGAGCCUCUCCCCAGCAGGACAGCUUCAUCCUAGGGGGGCCAUGAAGCAGAUUGAUCCUGGCCACGCAUCCCAACGGCCGUUUCCAUCACCCGUAACUCAGAACCUUUCCUGCAAUACGGCUGCACUGGGAUCUGUCCUUGUGCCCAAGCGCAGUCCUCAGCUGUCAGUUCCUCUCCAGCAGGGGCCUCACUCACCUACUCACCUCACUCACCUUGCCACCUUCAAGACCUGUCACCGCUGCCCUUUACUACCUCGGCUCUCCCCUUGAGGUGCCCCUUUACCUGGCCACAUCCCAACCAGCCCAUCAUCAGUGAGUCCUACACCAACCUGACCCUUCUCUGAACAACUAGCACGUACUGUCUGUGAUGUCCAUAGGAUCUGACAUAUUUAAGUAUUUUUAAUGUCCAAAUAAUGUAGGAAUAGUUUGUAUUGUAAAACUAUUCAGGUGAUCUUGAUGGUGUGAAGUCGCUUGAUCUUCCUGUCUUCCACUCCCACACCUGGUAACUCUGGGGCAGCUGGGGUGUCAGGCCCUUGUCCAUGUAUUUCCCACCUGGAUUCCAGAUAUGAAAAGGAAAGAACCAUCUUUCGUCCCACCCAACACUGCUCCUGCCUGCGCCUGUUCUAGGC